ACUAUUUUGGCAGAAAAGUGUAAUGGUUUUAGAAAUCAUAAAUAUAUAAUUUAAUUAUAUAGAUAGUA
rnacentral:tRNA from 3 species